rnacentral:rRNA from 1 species
UACGUAGGGUGCAAGCGUUAAUCGGAAUUACUGGGCGUAAAGCGUGCGCAGGCGGUUCGUUGUGUCGGCGGUGAAAGCCCCGGGCUUAACCUGGGAAUGGCCGUUGAAACUGGCGAACUGGAGUGUGGCAGAGGGGGGUGGAAUUCCGCGUGUAGCAGUGAAAUGCGUAGAGAUGCGGAGGAACACCGAUGGCGAAGGCAGCCCCCUGGGCUAACACUGACGCUCAGGCACGAAAGCCAGGGGAGCGAACGGG